rnacentral:snoRNA from 1 species
AGCUCAUUCUAGAUGAGAAUGGGCACUGUUGAUCAGUGUCCAAAAUAGAUCAAUGUGGCUAAAUUGACACAGGUUAUGCAUCCAUCACAUUAUAUGUAUGGCAGUGAUAAUAUUUUGCUUAAGCUCA